CUUGGGAGCUAGCUGCAGGUCCUGCAGGUGCCCCCCAGCUACUCUGAGUGGGCCCUGGGUCUGGCCACUGGGCAACUUUUCCUCCACCAGGAUCUGAUGAUCUGGGUGUAAUGAAAAUGGAGGCUGAGAAGGAAUUCACAACAAAUCACAGCUGAACAGUGUGUUCAUAUGAUUCCCAUACAAGAAAACUAUUUAACAGCAUAUUCAGGCCACAUGUUUGCAAUUCAAAGAUUACACCAUUUAAUGAUUUAUUAAACUGAGGCCCAUCUUUCUCCAGCCUUUUUAAAAGGCUUCUAGGUUCUUGCUAGUUGUCUUGUUAAUGUGUAUUAGAUGGAUAAUUGAUGAAUCACAGCUACCUAUGAAUACAUGCCCUCUCUUGAGGUUUGCAGCAACUGACCAAACACUGACAGAAGAUAAUGAAUGCAGUUAACAUGUGAUAUGAAGAAGAGAUCGCUGUGCUUACCAAAAACAUCCAUGACAGACUAAGCAUAUGGGAUCAGAGGAAAGAACAUCCUGUACGCUGUCCAAGAGAAACCAGGCUGGCCUCUGCAUACCUAGGAAACCUAACAUAAUUAAUGCAAUACGGUUUACAGAGAUGGACGUGCACAUACAAUGCCAGGCAUAUAGUGAAGG